AUACUUACCUGGAAGGGGAGAUACCAUGAUCACAAAGGUGGUUUUCUCACAGUGAGGUUUAUCCAUUGCACUCCAGAUGUACUGACCCCUGUGAUUUCCCCAGUUGUAGAUACUUGACUGCAUAAUUUGUGGUAGUGGGGGACUGCUUUCACACUCUCCUCUG